AGCUGGGUGGCGCAGUGGAAGCGUGCUGGGCCCAUAACCCAGAGGUCAGCGGGAUCGAAACCAUUUCCAGCUA
rnacentral:tRNA from 1 species